rnacentral:rRNA from 1 species
GACGAACGCUGGCGGCGUGCCUAAUACAUGCAAGUAGAACGCUGAAGGAAGGAGCUUGCUCUUUCCGGAUGAGUUGCGAACGGGUGAGUAACGCGUAGGUAACCUGCCUGGUAGCGGGGGAUAACUAUUGGAAACGAUAGCUAAUACCGCAUAACAGUAGAUAUCGCAUGAUAGCUACUUGAAAGGUGCAAUUGCACCACUACCAGAUGGACCUGCGUUGUAUUAGCUAGUUGGUGAGGUAACGGCUCACCAAGGCAACGAUACAUAGCCGACCUGAGAGGGUGAUCGGCCACACUGGGACUGAGACACGGCCCAGACUCCUACGGGAGGCAGCAGUAGGGAAUCUUCGGCAAUGGACGGAAGUCUGACCGAGCAACGCCGCGUGAGUGAAGAAGGUUUUCGGAUCGUAAAGCUCUGUUGUAAGAGAAGAACGAGUGUGAGAGUGGAAAGUUCACACUGUGACGGUAUCUUACCAGAAAGGGACGGCUAACUACGUGCCAGCAGCCGCGGUAAUACGUAGGUCCCGAGCGUUGUCCGGAUUUAUUGGGCGUAAAGCGAGCGCAGGCGGUUAGAUAAGUCUGAAGUUAAAGGCUGUGGCUUAACCAUAGUACGCUUUGGAAACUGUUUAACUUGAGUGCAAGAGGGGAGAGUGGAAUUCCAUGUGUAGCGGUGAAAUGCGUAGAUAUAUGGAGGAACACCGGUGGCGAAAGCGGCUCUCUGGCUUGUAACUGACGCUGAGGCUCGAAAGCGUGGGGAGCAAACAGG